rnacentral:rRNA from 1 species
UACGUAGGGUGCGAGCGUUGUCCGGAAUUACUGGGCGUAAAGAGCUCGUAGGUGGUUUGUCGCGUUGUUCGUGAAAACCCACAGCUCAACUGUGGGCGUGCGGGCGAUACGGGCAGACUAGAGUACUGCAGGGGAGACUGGAAUUCCUGGUGUAGCGGUGGAAUGCGCAGAUAUCAGGAGGAACACCGGUGGCGAAGGCGGGUCUCUGGGCAGUAACUGACGCUGAGGAGCGAAAGCGUGGGGAGCGAACAGG